UGGGGAAUUUUGGACAAUGGGCGCAAGCCUGAUCCAGCCAUUCCGCGUGCAGGACGAAGGCCUUCGGGUUGUAAACUGCUUUUGUACGGAACGAAAAAGCCUUGGUUAAUACCUGGGGUCCAUGACGGUACCGUAAGAAUAAGCACCGGCUAACUACGUGCCAGCAGCCGCGGUAAUACGUAGGGUGCAAGCGUUAAUCGGAAUUACUGGGCGUAAAGCGUGCGCAGGCGGUUAUAUAAGACAAAUGUGAAAUCCCCGGGCUCAACCUGGGAACUGCAUAUGUGACUGUAUAGCUAGAGUGCGGCAGAGGGGGAUGGAAUUCCGCGUGUAGCAGUGAAAUGCGUAGAUAUGCGGAGGAACACCGAUGGCGAAGGCAAUCCCCUGGGCCUGCACUGACGCUCAUGCACGAAAGCGUGGGGAGCAAACAGG
rnacentral:rRNA from 1 species